rnacentral:rRNA from 1 species
CCUACGGGAGGCAGCAGUGAGGAAUAUUGGUCAAUGGGCUUACGCCUGAACCAGCCAAGUCGCGUGAGGGAAGACUGCCCUAUGGGUUGUAAACCUCUUUUGUCAGGGAGCAACGCCGGCUACGUGUAGCCGGACUGAGAGUACCUGAAGAAAACGCAUCGGCUAACUCCGUGCCAGCAGCCGCGGUAAUACGGAGGAUGCGAGCGUUAUCCGGUUUUAUUGGGUUUAAAGGGUGCGUAGGCGGAAUGCCAAGUCAGCGGUAAAAUCGCGGGGCUCAACCUCGCUCCGCCGUUGAAGCUGGCGUGCUUGAGUGGGCGAGAAGUAUGCGGAAUGCGUGGUGUAGCGGUGAAAUGCAUAGAUAUCACGCAGAACUCCGAUUGCGAAGGCAGCAUACCGGCGCCCAACUGACGCUGAAGCACGAAAGCGUGGGUAUCGAACAGGAUUAGAUACCCUGGUAGUC